GGGAGCGACUUGGCUUCGACAGGAGUAAGUCUGCUUAGAUGGCAUGUCGCUUUGGGCAAAGCGUAAAAAGCCCAAAUAAAAUUAAACGCAAACAACGUUAAAUUCGCUCCUGCUUACGCUAAAGCUGCGUAAGUUCAGUUGAGCCUGAAAUUUAAGUCAUACUAUCUAGCUUAAUUUUCGGUCAUUUUUGAUAGUGUAGCCUUGCGUUUGACAAGCGUUGAGGUGAAAUAAAGUCUUAGCCUUGCUUUUGAGUUUUGGAAGAUGAGCGAAGUAGGGUGAAGUAGUCAUCUUUGUUAAGCAUGUAGAGGUCUUUGUGGAAUUAUUUUUGGACAGGGGUUCGAUUCCCCUCGCUUCCACCA
rnacentral:tmRNA from 2 species